rnacentral:rRNA from 1 species
UAUCCCAGCCUAUAUACCGCCGUCGUCAGCUUACCCUGUGAGGGUCUAAAAGUAAGCAGAAUUAGCAUAGCCCAAAACGUCAGGUCGAGGUGUAGCGCAUGAGGGGGGAAGAAAUGGGCUACAUUCCCUAAUAUAGGGAAUACGAAAGACAAAUUGAAAUAUUUACCAGAAGGAGGAUUUAGCAGUAAGCAGAGAACAGAGUGCUCCGCUGAAAUCGGCUCUAAGGCGCGCACACACCGCCCGUCACUCUCCCCGAAAAACAUUAAUCAACUUAACUAAAACCUAAGACACAUAGAGGGGAGGCAAGUCGUAACAUGGUAAGUGUACCGGAAGGUGCACUUGGAAAAAAU